rnacentral:misc_RNA from 1 species
AGAAGUUUUGCUUGAAAAUGGAGGAAAAACAUAUUGCUUAAAUGAUGGGAAACAUAUUGAGCCUCCCUUUGCACCAAAAAUUUGAAAGGGAUGGGUAAGGAUUAGGGGAAGGGGAAAAACUAAGCAAAUAAGAUAAAGAAGCACAAAGGUUAAAUAAAUAUACAAUAUGAUUCUACUUUCAUAUAUCUUUUUUCUAAUUCUUUGCUCUAAGACGUCUG